ensembl:lincRNA Gm14135 predicted gene 14135
GUAACACAGGCAAAGAUUGAACUGUUGACUUUUCCUGGAUUCUCCCUUGGUGAAGUUGAAUUGCGACAAACAACAUGUCCUCGAGCUGAAUCUGACUUAGACAAAUGUCCCUUUAAAACCCAACUCCAAAGGCUAGAGGAUACUAACGGAUAUAUAAAAUAUGCCAAGCUAAACCCACAACAAAACUCGUGCAACAAAUUCCAGUCUGAACUGGACAACUGUCCUUUAAGUGAACAGGAAGAUCAACAGAAGCAUAAACUGUGUACCAUCUUAAUCUCCAACUUAUCUGUUUAUUUGUAUAAUACUUUGAUACUAUUCAAGUGUCAAGAAGUCUGAGGCUAUGGCUGAGUCUGUGCUUUGUUAUUCAUCUCUUACAACAUAUUGCUUAUACUGUUCCAACACUCAGGCAUAUGAUACGGCCCUUAGUAAUAUCAAAGAAUUAUGUGCAUAGUAGAAAUCUUAUUGAUUGCAUCCCAGUUAUUGACAACAGAGUAACAUCCCCUUACAAUAUUCUCCUAAUUUUUUUGAAAACGCAAUAUUGCAAGGGCCUCAUGGCCUUCCCAUUCUCUGCUCAAUAAAAUAGUUAUCCGC